GACGAACGCUGGCGGCGUGCUUAACACAUGCAAGUCGAACGGAAAGGCCCUGCUUUUGUGGGGUGCUCGAGUGGCGAACGGUUGAGUAACACGUGAGUAACCUGCCCUUGACUUUGGGAUAACUUCAGGAAACUGGGGCUAAUACCGGAUAGGAGCUCCUGCUGCAUGGUGGGGGUUGGAAAGUUUCGGCGGUUGGGGAUGGACUCGCGGCUUAUCAGCUUGUUGGUGGGGUAGUGGCUUACCAAGGCUUUGACGGGUAGCCGGCCUGAGAGGGUGACCGGCCACAUUGGGACUGAGAUACGGCCCAGACUCCUACGGGAGGCAGCAGUGGGGAAUAUUGAACAAUGGGCGGAAGCCUGAUGCAGCAACGCCGCGUGCGGGAUGACGGCCUUCGGGUUGUAAACCGAUUUCGCCUGUGACGAAGCGUGAGUGACGGUAAUGGGUAAAGAAGCACCGGCUAACUACGUG
rnacentral:rRNA from 1 species